CUGAUAGAGCCGGAAGGAGAAAGUGUGCUCUGGAUCACAGACAGCACGGCACCUGGCUGGGAAGGAUCCAGACACAGAGUAUUGCUGGAUUCCCAUGAGUAUGAACGUUCCUAUGCUGGGGCAGGACCAAGGCUUGCUAACUUGACAAUUGAACUCAACUCUGUUACCCUGAAUUGGGCAAUGAACAUCAAGAGAGGAGGAGAAAUGUGCUCAAGGCCACAUGAGCAAGACUGGAACCCAGAACUCCUAACCACAAGCUCACAGGCAGCAAAGCAGCAUAACCUCUUAAAAUCGGUGCACCGAAGACAGAGUAGACUUCAUCUCCGUGGUCUCCUAUCACCGUUUUGGGCUUCAUUUCUGGUGAGAAGCUUGGGCGAUAUUGAAACUCAUACACGUAGGUGGGGGCUCCAGCAUCUGGGAAGACAUGGAUUCAUGUACAGUUCAAGUUGCCAGACACAAGCCUCAGUGGUUUUGAGGGCUCAAAACCCUAGAAGUACCUUACAGAAACCCUUAGAGUUUUUAUCAUUUAAGCACAAAGAUAAUGAUGGAUAACACAAGACAAAUAAAAGGCAUGAAAGUCAAUGACAAAGAACAACAAACAAUAUUCAGAAAAUCUAGCAUGGCCUUGACAAUCUUGGUUCUUAGUAUAGAGACAAGACAAAGUGUUAUAAAAACACAACUAAAUCAAAUGAUAUCUGUAGCCAAACUAUUUUCAUUACAAAGUGAUAUACAUUCUCAUAUCAAAGACACAAAAGGGUAUAUGGUAGAGGGAUGUAAAAUGGAGAGUUGUUCUAUCAAUCAAAAUUGUGCCUAGUGUCCUAUACCAGAGCGUCUCAGUAUAAAUUAAGUGUUAGAAGAUCUGAAAGGUCAGAUUUUCAGAUAUAAAAUUCAUAAGGAAACACAGAUCUUGAUCAGUAUUUUGAAAAACCAAUCUAAUAGCAUUGUGCAUAAUAUUCCACCCAGCACCAACACAGUACCUAUUAGUUUCCAGCACUCAUGGGACAUUCUGCUGAAACGAUCCCAUGUGAGGACAAAACACAAUUAUCAGCUAAUACAAGAAGACUGGGAUUGGAGCUAGUAUCCUUUCUGAUCACAAUGGAUUGAAACUAGUCAUCAACUACAGGAGGAAUUUUGGAAAAUUCAUAGACUCUUGGAAAGAAACAUGGUUCUGAGCUACUAAUAUGUCUGUUAUGAAACUAAGUGAAAAAAAUUAAAGCAUAUUAAAACAGGGCUGGAGAGAUGGCUUGGUGGGAAGGCCUUCGGCUCAUAAGAGUCAGGACAAGGGUUUGGAUGCCCAGCACAUGUGUAAAAUACAGCCGACCUUUGGCAUUAUAGGCUGACAUAAUCCGAGUGGACUGGAGGCAGAGCCAGGGGAUCUCCAGAGCAAACUGACUAGUUAGAUAAACCUGAACUGUUAAGACCUGAGUUCAAGCCAAAGGCCCUGUCUCAAUAUGUAAGAUGCAGAGCAACAGAGUUCUGGUCUUUACACUCACACACACGAGUGUAAGAAAAUGGAGUCAACAGCAUCACAACUUGCCAAAACUUACGGGAUAUAGCAAAAGCAGUUGCCUGAGAAACAUUCAUAACAUUAAACAAUGACAUCUAAAAAGAAGCAAAGUAUCAAAUGACCUACAGUUACAUAAAAGGGAUUUAAAAGGCCAACAAAGUAAGCCCAAGGAUAACAGGAAGAAGAAAUACAUAGGAGCAGAUAAAAAAGCAAAGGCCUAGAGAGUCAGCUCAGCAGUGAAGAGCCCUGGCUGCUCUUCUAGAGGAUCUGCCUUCAGUUCUCAGCAUCCAGUUGUCAGCUCCUACAUGGGGGCUCACAAGCCACACACAGCUCCAGGGGAUCCAAUUCCUCCUCUGGCUUCCGUGGACACAGGCACACAUGGUGCACAGAUACGUAUGAAGGAAAAAUGUCCACAAUCAUAAAACUAAGAAUAUUUUUAAAGUGAGUUCUGAAACUAUAAGAAAGGAUAAGAGAAAUCAUGAAUUUUUUUCGUUCCUGUUUUUAAAAAGAAAAUCAAAAAAUAACAAACCUUUAAUCAAACUAAGAAAAAGAGAGAGGACUUACACAAAUGAAAGAAAUGAAAGGCCUGGUGUUACAAAUGCCACUGAAGUACAAUGGAGCAUAAGAGAGUAUUACAAACUACUUCAUACCCACAACGUGGGUAACCUAAGACACAGAAAGAUGUUUUCAUUCCAAUAUAGUUUACCAAGAAUGAAGUAAGGUCUGGAGAGAUGGCUCUGGCUCAGUGGUCCGGAGGUAUGGUGCUCUUCCUGAGUUUGUUAAUAGCCCAUAUCAGGCAGCUCACAACCUUCAAUAACUACAGCUCCAAGAGAUCCAAUACAGUCAUCUGAUCUUUACAGCACUGUGCAUACACACACACAUACAAACACACACACACACACACACACACACACACACACUACAAAUAGGUUGAAUUAGUGAUAAGCACCCUACCCAUGAAUAAAUUUCCCACAUUCUGAUGGCUUCACAGAUGGGUCACACCAAUCGCAGAGAAAAACUAGUAUCAACUCAAACAUUCUCCCCAAAUUUCCUUAAAAACCAAGAAAGUGGGAGUAGUUACAGGAAAGGAUUACCUUCAAACUAAAAUAAGAAAAAGACAUUAUAAGAACAAUUCAAUAGCAAAUACACCAUAUCUUCCAUAAGUAUAGAUAGAAAGCACUCAAGAAAAUGCUAGCAAUGAACUAUAACAGCACAUUUAAAGGCUUAUCCAAUUUGAUGCAGUAAGACUUAUCACAGAACUAUGAAAAUGAUCCAUUUUUGUGGUGUGUAGCAUUACAGAAUGAUGAGCAAAAACCAGGUGGUCGUUAAGGCCAGCCUGGUCUACACAGUGAGUUCUAGACAGCCUACAUAGUGAGACCCUGUCUUAAAAAAAUAAAAACAAAAGUAUAUAAAAGGGCCCACAUUACACAAAGUGUUCAGUUGGCUCUGUGCAAUUCCUAUAAAAGUUCCAGUGCCAAUAUUCACAGGUACAGAAAAGAAAUUCUAAAUUCAUAUGAAAUAUCAAGGAUGAGAGUAAACACAUACACACACAUUCAAACACACAAAUGUAUAUAUGCAUAUAAGUACUAAAUCAAGGCAAUCAUGAAUAAUAAGAACAAUGCUUAAUGUCUGAUCCAGUACUUUCAUGCUGUACUGAAACUUGAAAUAAACUUGUACUAAAACUUAGAAUAAGAAAGUACUUGCAACAACAACAAAAAGGGAAAAGAAAAGACAGACACACUGACCAAUGGAACCCUAUAAGGAACUCAAAUGAAGCCAAGAGCAUAAAGUCAAUUUUGGUUAGAAUAUGGCAAGGCUUUCCAUUUCAUGAGAAAAAUGUGUGUGUGCUGUAUUUUUCACCUAGAAUAAACAUAGUCUCUAGUUAUGAUGAACUUCUUAUGAUUGUUGUACAUUCCAAGAAAGUAAAAUUAGAAAAAAGAAAGUCACUGUAGUAAUAGCUGUUCACAAAAGUGGAUUUUCUUUCUUUCUUUUUUUUUUUUUCUUUUUUGGUUUUUCGAGACAGGGUUUCUCUGUAUUGCUUUGGAGGCUGUCCUGGAACUUGCUCUGUAGACCAGGCUGGCCUCAAACUCACAGAGAUCCACCUAUUUCUGCCUCCUGAGUACUGAGAUUAAAGGUGUGUGCCACCAAUGCCCGGCCUCACAAAAGUUGAUUUUCAUAUGCAGAAAUGUUGGACACUUAUAUAAUUUACAAAAGACAAACUAGAAAAUUGGAUUAUAGUCUAAUUCACAACCAGAAACUAAAACAACAAUAAGAAAACAUAGAGGAAGAAAAAGCUAUGACAUUAUCUGGAACAUGGUUGUCUGUGUUUGACAUCAAAAGUGGAGACAACCCAGGCAAAAAUUAUAUCCGAUUGCAAAGCAAAGGGAAAAUAAUGAACAUUCUAAACAGACAACCUCUUCUGAUUAUGUGUGUGUAUUUGUAUUUGUGCAAGGUGGGGAGUUUUUUCAAAUGGUACAUGCAACAAAGGGUUGCUAUACAAAUCAUCCAAGGAAUGUAAAUAAUUCAAUAAUAAGAAGAAAAGCAAACAAGCCAUUUGUUGGGUAAGGAUCCAAACCUGGGGGAGUGUGACUGAAAUCCUAGCACUUAAGACAGUAGUCAGGAGGAGAUCAAGUUCAGGGCCAGGGUUAACCUUGUCUAAAAAGAAAGACUUUGUCUUACAAAGAAAAUAAAAUGACAAGGACUUGAGUAGACAAUUUUUAAAAAGCAGCAUAAAAGUAAAAAUAGACAACAGAUUAAUAAAAAAUUUUUAACAUCAAUGAUCACUGAGAAUCACAAUGAGACAGUGUCUUUCCCAGUCUGAAUAUAUUUUAUGAAAAGCUACUAAUAACAAGUAGUGGUGGCAAGGAUGAGGAAAAAAGGAAACUCAUUCAUACAAUGUGUGUGCUACAAAGCAAGAGGACAGCAUGUAAAGUAAGUUAAAGAUGUAGAUGGAGUAAUGCAUGCUUUUAAAAAGGGAGAUGUACUGCCAUUAUGACGUCAUACAUAUAGAUUGAGAAUAUGCUAAAUGGACUAAGUCAAGAUCUACAUAGACAAAUAUACACACUGUGACUCACAUGUAGCCUAUGACAAAAGGUCUCAAAACUGCAAAGAGUGAAAGGGUCCCAGGCUGGAGGUGAGAGGUGGGUGGAUUGCCACAUAGUCAGAAUGCUUGUAUUCAUCUUUGGAAUGUUUUGUCAUUCCUAUCUAUUUGUAUGUUUUGUUGGAUGGGCAGGCCACCAUGCACAUGUGGUUAGAGGAUGACCGUGUGAGCCCCCCGCAUUGAACUCAGGUCAUCAGGUUUGGCAGCAAGAAUCUUACCUGCUGAGCCAUCUCACUGGUCCCUCCACUUUUCAUUUUUGAGUAACAUUGUACAAUAUGAUAAGUACUGUUAAUAAAGAAUAUUUAAAAAUGCCGA